GAUAAGAUUUCCCUAGGACUUUAUGUCCUCUAAAGAGCCGUUCGAGACUAGGACGUUGAUAGGUUGGAUGUGGAAGCAUAGUGAUAUGUGAAGCUGACCAAUACUAAUUGCUCGUGAGGCUUGACUAUACAACACCCAAGCAGUUG
rnacentral:rRNA from 1 species